rnacentral:rRNA from 1 species
CCACGACCGGUUCGCGGGCGGCGAGAAACUCCCGGGCAAGGUGACCUUCGCCUCGGCGCAGGAGCAUACAGGCCCGGCGAGCGUCGGCCCGUCGGCGGACCGAGGAAGACCGUCGCGGAGCGGCGUCGACCGCCCGUCGUGUGGUUGCGUUCGACUCGGGGGGACUGGUUCCAGUGCCCUCGGACCGCGCGAUCGCAGCGGCGGGACGGCCCGGCGUCGCGCCUGGGGUCGGUGGCGAAACGGCCGGCAACCUGUCCGACCCGUCUUGAAACACGGACCAAGGAGUCUAACAUGUGCGCGAGUCGUUGGGCGCUACGAAACCCGAAGGCGCAAUGAAAGUGAAGGCCCGGUCUCGUGCCGGCCUGGGUGGGAUCCGGGCGGUCGCGGCCGCCCGGCGCACCACCGGCCCGUCUCGUUCGCCGCGUCGAAGAGGCGGAGCAAGAGCGUACACGUUGGGACCCGAAAGAUGGUGAACUAUGCCCGAGUAGGACGAAGCCAGAGGAAACUCUGGUGGAGGUCCGCAGCGAUUCUGACGUGCAAAUCGAUCGUCAAACUUGGGUAUAGGGGGAGAAGAUGAAUCGGUCUAUCUAGAGGCCUGUGCAUAACACUUCUUCGCUCUAAG